GCCUGGGUGGCUCGGUCAGUUAAGCGUCUGACUUCGGCUCAGGUCAUGAUCUCGCAGUCCGUGGGUUCAAGCCCCGCGCCGGGCU
rnacentral:tRNA from 1 species